GCGCCGGUGGCUCAACUGGAUAGAGCGCUCCCCUAACGAAGGAGAAGGUUGCGGGUUCAAAUCCCGUCCGGUGCG
rnacentral:tRNA from 1 species